GGAGAGGUCGCAUAGUGGCCUAGUGCGCGCGCUUGGAAAGCGCGUAUACCGAAAGGUAUCGCGGGUUCGACUCCCGCCCUCUCCG
rnacentral:tRNA from 1 species